AUUGAACGCUGGCGGCAUGCUUUACACAUGCAAGUCGAACGAGUGGCGAACGGGUGAGUAAUAUAUCGGAACGUACCGAGUAAUGGGGGAUAACAAAUCGAAAGAUUGGCUAAUACCGCAUAUAAUUCGAGCUGCCGAUAACUGAUAGUCUAGGUGGUGGGGUAAAGGCCUACCAAGGCGACGAUGAGUAGAGGGUCUGAGAGGACGAUCCGCCACACUGGGACUGAGACACGGACCAGACUCCUACGGGAGGCAGCAGUGGGGAAGUUUGCACAAUGGGGGCAAGCCUGAUCCAGCCAUGCCGCGUGUAUGAAGAAGGCCUUCGGGUUGUAAAGUACUGUUGUUAGGGAAGCGGUACCUAAAGAAUAAGCACCGGCUAACUACGUGCCAGCAGCCGCGGUAAUAC
rnacentral:rRNA from 1 species